AUUCACCUUUUUUACAUGAGACUGUACCUCGGUAACAUCAUUACGUACUACGAGUGCCAGGGUGACAUCGAAAAUGCAGAUAAAGCAAUGGACAUGCUCAAUUCUUUAAAACAACCUUUGCAGCAGCCCACCAUUAAAGACUACUUUUG